GAUGGACCCCUCCGAGCGGCAGAAUGGUCGGUGUGGAGCCGGCCCUAGCCCCUGGAUUUGGUGGUGGUCCAGGGAGGCCUACCCCCAACUCUGUGAGCCCUAUGGCGUCGGGGUGGGUUGGACCGGUGGCUGGGAGGACAAACACCGGCGACAUGCAAGAGGCCGGAAAAAGGCGAGGCCUACCGGGGCUGGAGCUCCAAGGGGG